GUAGUGUGUGGAGGCGAUGAUCCGGGGGCCUGAUGUGGUUGCUUUCCCAUCCUCAGGAUGGGUGAGACCUUCGGAGAGCCAGUAGCGAAACCGGCCACUAUGGGC
rnacentral:ncRNA from 24 species